ACGGCUCAGUAACACGUAGUCAAUCUAACCUGUGGACGGGGAUAAUCUCGGGAAACUGAGCAUAAUACCUGAUAGAUCAUUAUGCCUGGAACGGUUUAUGGUCAAAACGAUUUAUCGCCACAGGAUGGGACUGCGGCCUAUCAGCUAGUUGGUGAGUUAACGGCCCACCAAGGCGAUAACAGGUACGGGCUCUGAGAGGAGAAGCCCGGAGAUGGGUACUGAGACACUGACCCAGGCCCUAUGGGGCGCAGCAGGCGAGAAAACUUUGCAAUGUGCGAAAGCACGACAAGGUUAAUCCAAGUGAUUUCUGCUAAAGAAAUCUUUUGUUAGUUUUAAAAAUACUGAUGAAUAAGGGGUGGGCAAGUUCUGGUGUCAGCCGCCGCGGUAAAACCAGCACCUCAAGUGGUCAGGAUGAUUAUUGGGCCUAAAGCAUCCGUAGCCUGUUGUGUAAGUUUUCGGUUAAAUCCAUGUGCUUAACAUAUGGGCAGCUGGAAAUACUAUACGACUAGGGAGUGGGAGAGGUAGACGGUACUCGAUAGGAAGGGGUAAAAUCCUUUGAUCUAUUGAUGACCACCAGUGGCGAAGGCGGUCUACCAGAACACGUUCGACGGUGAGGGAUGAAAGCUGGGGGAGCAAACCGGAUUAGAUACCCGGGUAGUCCCAGCUGUAAACAAUGCANACUCAGUGAUGCGUUGGCUUAUAGCUAACGCAGUGCUGCAGGGAAGCCGUUAAGUUUGCCGCCUGGGAAGUACGUACGCAAGUAUGAAACUUAAAGGAAUUGGCGGGGGAGCACCACAAGGGGUGAAGCCUGCGGUUC
rnacentral:rRNA from 1 species